CCUACGGGAGGCAGCAGUGAGGAAUAUUGGUCAAUGGACGAGAGUCUGAACCAGCCAAGUAGCGUGAAGGAUGACUGCCCUAUGGGUUGUAAACUUCUUUUAUAUGGGAGUAAAAUGUUCCACGUGUGGGAUUUUGUAUGUACCAUAUGAAUAAGGAUCGGCUAACUCCGUGCCAGCAGCCGCGGUAAUUCGGAGGAUCCGAGCGUUAUCCGGAUUUAUUGGGUUUAAAGGGAGCGUAGGUGGAUUUUUAAGUUAGUUGUGAAAGUUUGGGGCUCAACCGUAAAAUCGCAGUUGAUACUGGCAGUCUUGAGUACAGUAGAGGUGGGCGGAAUUCGUGGUGUAGCGGUGAAAUGCUUAGAUAUAACGAAGAACUCCGAUAGCGAAGGCAGCUUACUGGACUGCAACUGACACUGAGGCUCGAAAGUGUGGGUAGCAAACAGGAUUAGAUACCCCUGUAGUC
rnacentral:rRNA from 1 species